GAUGAACGCUGGCGGCGUGCUUAACACAUGCAAGUCGAACGAAGCAUUUAAGACAGAUUACUUCGGUUUGAAGUCUUUUAUGACUGAGUGGCGGACGGGUGAGUAACGCGUGGGUAACCUGCCUCAUACAGGGGGAUAGUAGCUGGAAACGGCUGGUAAUACCGCAUAAGCGCACAGUACCACAUGGUACAGUGUGAAAAACUCCGGUGGUAUGAGAUGGACCCGCGUCUGAUUAGCUUGUUGGCGGGGUAACGGCCCACCAAGGCGACGAUCAGUAGCCGACCUGAGAGGGUGACCGGCCACAUUGGGACUGAGACACGGCCCAGACUCCUACGGGAGGCAGCAGUGGGGAAUAUUGCACAAUGGAGGAAACUCUGAUGCAGCGACGCCGCGUGAGUGAAGAAGUAGUUCGCUAUGUAAAGCUCUAUCAGCAGGGAAGAUAGUGACGGUACCUGACUAAGAAGCUCCGGCUAAAUACGUG
rnacentral:rRNA from 1 species